rnacentral:rRNA from 1 species
UACGAAGGGGGGCUAGCGUUGCUCGGAAUUACUGGGCGUAAAGGGAGCGUAGGCGGAUAGUUAAGUCAGAGGUGAAAGCCCAGGGCUCAACCUUGGAAUUGCCUUUGAUACUGGCUAUCUUGAGUAUGGGAGAGGUAAGCGGAACUCCGAGUGUAGAGGUGAAAUUCGUAGAUAUUCGGAAGAACACCAGUGGCGAAGGCGGCUUACUGGCCCAUUACUGACGCUGAGGCUCGAAAGCGUGGGGAG